GUGAGCAGGUGCGAUCAUCUGCACAGGAAGUGUUUUUCUUUGCAGUCCACUGCUCCUCAGAAGGGGACGUUGCCAAGGCUGUUCUGCAUUCUGUAUUGCUGAAGCUCAAGGAUGCAUUCAAGUUCAAGGGCCUGGAGGGAGGACAGAAGCCUGAAUAAACUUUGGUCAAAUCAUUUUUCAACACGUUUGCAUGUCCCCUACGUUAACGCACCCAGGAGAUGAAGACCUGUGUCUCCAGAGUCAGGCUCAAGUUCCACUUCUGGUUUAGCUGCCUACUCGCUUGUCUUGGACUCCAAACGCCUCAUGACACACAGCCUUGCUGUUCUUCAUUACCAGUUCCUAUGAGACUCUCAGAUUAAAAGGUCGAUGUCCAGAUAUCCCCCAAACAAACAAGACGCUGCUUCAACUUCUGGGCAGACGCAGCAGGCUCGUUAAAGAUAACCGAGACCCAGAGGAAGUCGUGUCCUACUGGAGACGCA